AGGGAUCCUUUUCCAUCAACCAGAGGCGCCGCCAGGAGCCGCAGCUCUUCCCCUCGAAGCAUCGCCAGGAGAAGGAACAAAGAAGACGCAGCCUCUCAUCCAUCAAACUCCUGCAAAGAUCAGAGUCUACACCAGCUCAUGGACCGAGGCUAUGGAUAACGCGGAUGCCACACCCACAUCAACACCACACGUGCAUGGAGAACGUGAAGCGAAGAUCGAAGACGACAACCACGGCAACGGAAUCGGAGGUGCUUCGGCAAGCAAGACUUGCGAAGGUGAUUAACUAGGAGCUUUCCGAUAUCCUAGGAAUCAGAAGAUCAUAUCGCCCAAGACAAGAUCGCUGUCAGUAGGCUAUGGGACGUAUAGGGACUUGUAUUUAUUUUUCUGUAUAGAUUAAUAAAGU
rnacentral:lncRNA from 1 species